UGGCCAAGGAUGAGAACUCAAUCUGAUGGAUGUACUUCCACUCUGAUGGGUUAAAGGAUUUACCUGAGGCCA
rnacentral:snoRNA from 10 species